rnacentral:lncRNA from 1 species
GUAACAUCUGCGUGGGAGGGUGAAAGACCCAAGCUAGCAGCGCGGAGAAGAAGAGGGGGGAGCCAGGCAUUCAUCCCGGUCAAUUUUGGUUUCAGAUCGUGGCGACUGGUGGACAGGGGUCUUGACAGAGGCUCGCCCUGGGGCUGGGGCAGCGGAGGCGUAGCUGGCAGCCGUGGGCAGGUGAAGACAGCGCUCUGCCGGCCAGGUGAGUCCCCUUCUCCUCGCUGGUCCUUGCUCUCCUGGUCUCCUGCAGAAGGAGGUUCUGGGGAGCGCGGGCCAGCGAGGUGGAGAGGCUGGCCUCCCGGCAGAGCAGGACGCAGGCUGGUCAGGCAGCACAGGUGAUAUCGUCUCAGGGGAGCUGAGACAGGGCGGGCUGGGGGCCGCGGGAUGGGGUGCCGCGGGCUGCCCCAGGUGGCAAGGGCAUUUCCAGAGAGCCAGGCGGGAGCUUAGCAGGCAGGGCUGCCAGCACGUGUAGGGGGCACUCAGGCCCCCGGGGCGAGCAGGACAGGGUGGGGACUCAGGACAGAGGGGUUCCCAGCCGCCACUUCACCCACUGUAAUUCACUUAGUAGUAGGUCACAGGAGCGGCUCCGGCCAGGCGUUCUCAGGCCUGAGCCAGAGCCUCGAGGGCCGGAGAAUGAGAGAGAAGGCAGCGCAGUGCGCGGGCAACCGCGGCGGGAUGUCAUCUGGGGGGCGGUGGCCGCGGGACAGGCCCGGAGAGAUACCUGCAGCAGGGAGGCUGCGCGGGCCCAGCCCGUGGACGCCAGCCCCACGCAGCACUGCGGCCCGGGAGCCACGCGGGAGGGCCCCAGUGCACUUGGGGACACUGGGGACACUUGACCCGAACCGCUGGCCCUUGGGAUGGGCAUGAGAGAUAGAACAGCACCCAGGGGAGUCAAGGACACGGGCGAGACCAGGCUAGGUGGGGCGGGUGGGGGGGCGUGAAUGUGCACUCUCGGGGGAAGGGAGGCCAGGGCACAGGCAGGGGCGAGGGGCCAGAGCCGGGCACCGAGCCAGUGGGAGGGGCAUUGGACUUCGAGCUCGUGGCCAAGGCGGGCCUCUGCGGGCGAUGACGGAGCGGGAUCGGUGCCUCUGAGCUCGGAACGGAGACGGAGCCACGUCUCCAGUGGGGUGUUGGUGCCUGCCAGCCACGGAGGCCGGGCGGCCAGGACGCGCACAGAGGGAUAUGAUAUGGUCCGGUGUGAUGGAGAGAGCAGGCGGGACCGUCCAGCCUCCCAGGACACUGGCCCCGCGGGGAGCCCGGAUAUCGACGUUCCUUUAGUCUCCUGACGGAGCAGACACACCACUGCUGCUCUUCAGACACCCAGAACCCUCAAGAUGACAAGAGAUGGUGCUACCCAGCUCAUGCCUGGGACUUGGAACACGGACUUCUUCAAGUCUUCUAGCUCUGACUCAAGAAUAUGCUGCAUUUUGGAACCACUACACACCCUAACUCAGGAAUCAGCUCUGGAAGGUUGACCUAAAGGAACGGACGACCCACACCACCGGAAGAGCAGCCCCCGCGGCGACACCCACCCCGGCCCGGCGACUCCAUCUCUGCGGCCCCCCCCUGCCUCAGCCCCGAGACCACCGACAGCCUCCCUCCCUCCUUUUCCUCCUUUUCUGACUCUAUUUUCUGAUCUUCUCUCUGCUAUCCUUUGCUCAGGAGACUCAGAGCCUCCAGAGCCCCGUUCUCCCCGUCCCCCUUGAAUCAAUUUGCACUAAAAGUCGUUUGCACUGGUUGGGGCUCUGGAGCCAGCCCUGGUCUCUGAGCGUGUGUAAGCGCGCGUGUGUGCACACUGCUGAAUGUGUAGGCCUCCUUGGCCCGUGCCCCCGCCCAGCACCCUUCCCACACUUGCGGGUGCCUGGGAGGGGGCCCGAGUGGGGGGGCCCGCGUGUGAGGGGCCCCGCCCGCCCGCACCGAGUCUGGAGGCUCCGAACAUCAGGAGCACACACCAAGCAUGAACGUGUGUCCAUCUUGCCUAGUGUCCCUCCCUGCCAGGGCCUCCUCAGAUGCCCUGGACUCAUCAAUAAACUCAGUUACAGGAAAAAAAAAAAAAAAAAAUCGGA